rnacentral:rRNA from 1 species
UCGAGAAUUUUUCUCAAUGGGGGAAACCCUGAAGGAGCGACGCCGCGUGGAGGAUGAAGGUCUUCGGGUUGUAAACUCCUGUCAUUUGGGAACAAGGUGCACGUGUUUACUGCACGUGUAUUGAUAGUACCAGAAGAGGAAGAGACGGCUAACUCUGUGCCAGCAGCCGCGGUAAUACAGAGGUCUCAAGCGUUGUUCGGAUUCAUUGGGCGUAAAGGGUGCGUAGGUGGCGCCAUAAGUCAGGUGUGAAAUCUCGGGGCUUAACUCCGAAACUGCAUUUGAUACUGUGGUGCUUGAGGACUGGAGAGGAGACUGGAAUUUACGGUGUAGCAGUGAAAUGCGUAGAGAUCGUAAGGAAGACCAGUGGCGAAGGCGGGUCUCUGGACAGUUCCUGACACUGAGGCACGAAGGCCAGGGGAGCAAACGG